rnacentral:rRNA from 1 species
GAUGAACGCUGGCGGCGUGCCUAAUACAUGCAAGUCGAACGAAACUUCUUUAUCACCGAGUGCUUGCACUCACCGAUAAAGAGUUGAGUGGCGAACGGGUGAGUAACACGUGGGCAACCUGCCCAAAAGAGGGGGAUAACACUUGGAAACAGGUGCUAAUACCGCAUAACCAUAGUUACCGCAUGGUAACUAUGUAAAAGGUGGCUAUACUACCGCUUUUGGAUGGGCCCGCGGCGCAUUAGCUAGUUGGUAGGGUAAAGGCUUACCAAGGCAAUGAUGCGUAGCCGAAUUGAGAGGUUGAUCGGCCACAUUGGGACUGAGACACGGCCCAAACUCCUACGGGAGGCAGCAGUAGGGAAUCUUCCACAAUGGGCGAAAGCCUGAUGGAGCAACGCCGCGUGGGUGAAGAAGGUCUUCGGAUCGUAAAACCCUGUUGUUAGGGAAGAAAGUGAGUGAGAGUAACUGUUCACGUUUCGACGGUAUCUAACCAGAAAGCCACGGCUAACUACGUG